rnacentral:rRNA from 1 species
GGUGAGUAACACGUGGAUAACCUACCUAUAAGACUGGGAUAACUUCGGGAAACCGGAGCUAAUACCGGAUAAUAUUUUGAACCGCAUGGUUCAAAAGUGAAAGACGGUCUUGCUGUCACUUAUAGAUGGAUCCGCGCUGCAUUAGCUAGUUGGUAAGGUAGCGGCUUACCAAGGCAACGAUGCAUAGCCGACCUGAGAGGGUGAUCGGCCACACUGGAACUGAGACACGGUCCAG